UUUUUUUUUUUUUUUGUUGAAGGUAAGGGGAAAAAAAAAAUAAAAAGAGGAGAGAGAGAGGGAGAGAGAGGGAGAGAAGGAGAGAGAGAGAUGAAAAAAAUGGCAAAAGCCCCCCUGAGCUGCAAGUUCAAGUGCGGACGUGACGUCCCUGCGAACUUGAACGUCAGGAGCCUGGAUGGACAGAGACAUACAAAACAUGGGCAGGGCAAGCCGGGGAGAGGGGAGGAGGGAAGGCGAAGGCAACACCAAUGGACACUCAUCAGGGGCUGGACAUGAAAAAGAGAGCAGGACAAGCCAAUGGACAGUGAUCGCAGGGGGGAGAGGGGAGGGGGCGCAAUGGGGGGGGGGGGGUUUGCACCGGCCGCCCGGCGCACGCUGCCGAGAGGGGCCGGAGGGCGGCGGCGGCCGGAGCCGCGAGUGGCCGCGGAGGAGCGGGAGAGGGGCGAGGGGAAAGGGGGGGGGGGGGGGUUGGACACGCACACGCGGGGAAAGAGGGGAGGAAAAGAAAGAGGGAGCGCGCACACGCACACACACACACACACCCCCCGCUGGAAAAGCCUCGGUGAAGCCGGAGCCGGGAGCAGAGGGCUGCGGGGCAAGGCUGGCCUCGGGAUGCGCCGAGCCGGCGGGAGAGCUGGGGGGAGCCAGGUUUGAUUGCUGGAAAAGGUUGACUGCUAGAAAAGGAAAACCAGUGCAGUGCACAGCAGUGGGGAAUCGAAGCCCUUCUUCACCAGAACCCCUGCCAUAUACGUACUGUCACUCACCUUCCAGACACUCAGUACAGCCAUUCAAUCUAUUGAAUCAAGAGACUGUUUGAUCUUAUCUGCAUCUGUGAGCUGACUGUCAACCUGCUUAGGCUGCAUAUUAAAUCAUCUAUAGUAGCUGUAUCAAGCUGGGAUGAUCUGUUAAUUCUAAAUUUAUUAACCCUUGGAGUGCAGUCAUCAUGUUUAAUCUAGUGUAGCCAGCAUUUAUUUUACAAGACUGAGUCCUUCUUUAAGAUAUGGCUGUGCUGUAGGUUAAGGAAGCAGGAAUGUGGAGGAGAUGGAAACUGGGAAGAGCUCCCACUGAUCUCCAAAAGCCAGCUGACAGCAUCGUUGCUCCAAAUACAUACAUGUGUGCUUGUGCCACGCUCCUGUGUCUGACAUAUGGGGGGUGUGCACACGUGUAUGCACCAAAUAAUGUUUCCUCGCAGAGUUUUGCCUGAGAAGGGAAAGAAAAAGAAGAAUUCCUGAGCCCUGCACCUCCAUAAGGACUCAAAAUCAAAACCCAAAGUGGCACAAGUCAAGGGAGGGGCUACAGAGACCUGCCAGGACCCACCACCAAACCUCUCCUCCAAGUCAGCUCCUGCUUCUUGGUCCGUAGCUACCAUCCAAACCACCCAAACCACUUAACAAACAUCCCCGGAGCGCUGAGGACCACGGCUGCUGGUGGACCUGCAAGAAGUCAAAUGCUGCUGUCCACAUACAGACAAAUAUGCCCCCAGACAGACACGUAUACGUGUACAAAUGAUUUUAUAUGGACGCAUCGAUACGUUAAGCCGUUCGUUACACACACACACGGUCUCUCCCUGCCCUUCUCUCCUGUUAUCUAUUAUCCUCGUACGUUGCCGAUGGUAUCAACAUACUCACAGCUUUUAUUUCAGUCCCCAACUGCCAGGCAUGCUUCCUUUUUUGGUAAUCAUGUGCCCAGUAUCUCUCUAAUGUAGCCUAAUAACAAUUUUAGCAUUCAGAUGAAGCGAUUUCAUUCUGUGACUGCCUUUUCUAUUAGAUUUGAUUCUGAGAAGCCCCAGUGGGUGCCUCGGAGGCAGAGAUCUAUCUGUGAGGCUGCAACCGAUUCAAUAGCAGCCUGAGCUAACCUUGACCUUUCCCUAGACCCUGCUCCAUCUGGUGCCAGCCUGGUCCCCCCCCCCCUUCUCCUCCUCCUUGCUUCACAGUCAGCAUUGAUCAAGGCGGAAUCGAGCCAUCUCUCCCCCUCCCAGGGCUGGGCAGUGGUGGAAAGGACAGCACAUUUCAAUAUAUGGAAAUGAUCGAGCCUCUUAUGCAAUCGUAAAUCUACAUAGAGCCUCCUGAUUUGAUAUUUCAUUCACCUCCAAAGAGUCUCCCCCUCCCUCCUUCCUUUCUGUCCUCCCUCCCUCCCGCCAGCAGGGAUUUAUAAACUAUAAGACAACGGCUUUCCCCAACACCUGGAAAUUAUAAAGCUUGCCGUUCGUUGGGAAUGAAUGCCUGGCGGUCCCAUCCGGCUUAUUUACUUAUUUGCAACUCCCAGCGUUGCUUUCCCUGCGUGCUCGGGUGAUGGGUUUAAUCUGUUUUUACGGUGGGUCCCCCCCUUUCCCUCCCCACCCCGUUCCGGCGGCGGCCGCGGCCCCGCUGGGAGCUGGUUUGAUGCCGCCGUUGUUUAAACCGAAGGCAGGAUCGGCUCAGCUCCAAGCUCGGCUCAGCUCGGAGCGCACCCGAGCCCCGCCGGUCGCCGGUAGCGGCUGCAGCCGCGUCCCGCUCCGCUCCGGAGCCUUUCGGUAGCUGGAAACAGAGGCUCCCGCAACACACCCGCGCUUCGCCGCUUCAUCAUCUCACUUCUGCUUCAUUUCUGCUCCUCUCCCCGCGCCCAGCACAACCGGCAGCGCCUGCCCGGGGCUCUGCUUUAACAUUCGUGUGCGCUCCUUCAAUCCCGAGGACACCCACUUUUACAAGCAACAAUUUUCCCCAGGAAUCCUGACAUAACCACGUUGUUUUUCCUAUCGCGUUCCAGCUUGGAGAUUAGAUAACAGAUUAUGUAAAAUUAUAAUCACCAGAUGAUAUAUGCAGGCUCUAAUUAUUAUAUAGGGUUUCCUGCAUAUCUAUAGCCAGGCACGCAGCGCAUAUGGGAAGAGUCGGCUCUGCAGCAUUUGCAUAGCCAACACUUCUGGCUGUAGACGCAGCGUAGGAAAGGAGGAGAUAGAUAUUUGACAGUGCAUAUGUAUAAAAGAAAUGUAUUAAUGGGAAAAGGCACCUGGAAAUAUAUUUCCCUCUGUUUUGAGGAAUUUGUUUUGCUUUAUCUCCACGGGUAGUAAAAAAAAAAAUAAUAGGAAGAAACUGUGAAUUACAUGAAAAAAAAAAAAGAUCUAUUCAAUUUGUCAGUUUAAUAUUACACUUCCUCUCUGCGAUGCUACAAAGAUUUAGAGCAUUCCCCAAACUUUCAGCUCUAAUCUGUGUCUCGGGUUUGUUUGGAGGACCUGCCACCACACGCCAGCUAAAAAUGAGUGUCAAUUAAUACCAGAAACCACUCAUCCUUAUUCCUGCACUCAUCUAAUUUAACAGGUUUUGAUAAAACCACGGAUGCAACAGUGAGAAUUUUCCGAUGUGUGCAGCAUUAACAGUUUUCAUUCCAAAGCACCAAAACUGCCUGAAAUAGAACUCCUGAGUAUUUCUCUGCUUUUCCCAGUAGCCAUCUACACAUAUUAUUAUACACUUAAAACAUACAGAAUAUUCAGCUCCUUUAAAAGCAUGGUUUGUUCUACCAGGAGCAUAGCUGGGGGAAAGAAUCCCAGACCUAGGUGGUUAAAGUAACUACGCCGUGUUAUUUGUGGCCUCCAAAAUUAGAAAUAAUUUGAAACAAGAAGUAGGAGAGGUUUCAGCUCGUGUUUUCCACUACGUGAGAAGUAACCGGAAAACAUUUGCCCUCGUAAUGUAGCAGGGUUCAUAAAGUCUUUGCUUUCUGAGCUACCUGAGCAAUCCCGUAACCUCUGCAGAAGUGCCUGAGCGCGGGUUUGUUGUUGAAAAGCAUAUUGUACUUAUUAGUAAAAUGUGAAAUGGCUUAAAAAACAAUCUGAGCUACAGCUUGCCAUCUGCUCAAUGAGGGGAAACAGAAAGUAACUGAAUGUAUUUUCUCACCUUUUUUUAUAGUAACAUAAACAACACUCCAGAACACCAUAAACUUCUGUCUGUACGAAAGGCACCGGUACAGUUCAUCGUGCUCCAGGUCAGGACUUGGUCCACACUGUUAAACGCCCUUUCUUUUAAUUAUCUGCAAAUGUCCCCAAGUAUUUUUUUUUUCCCCCCAUUAAAUAAGAUAUCCUUUUUAAUUUCAGGGAUUAAAAACCUGAUCCUGCUUCCCACAUGAUACUCUGGAAACUGGCCCUGAUAGCGAGCUAGCCUGAGGUCUGUGCAUGCCUCGAGAUGUCAAAAUAGGAGUGAAGCAGCGUAUAGAACUUCUGGUUCUCUAGGAGGGAAGGUUCUCUGUUACCCAGCUUUGACAUAGCACUUACACUGGGGAAACCAUCAGUACACAGCUCGCACUCCCCGAGACUGGUCUCACCAUGCAGACACUACAAGGAAAUAACCAACUAACAUCUUUUUUGUUUUCUACUUAGCUGGAGUUAUUUCUUUGCUCUCCUUCAGCUUUACCCACCUGGGAACCCAGAUUUCUUUUAACCUGUUUGUUCCAUGUCUUGCCUAACAGCAGCUCAGCCAACCUGCCCAGAACACUCUGCUCCUACCAGCUAUGCAUUGGAGGGACGAGCAUUCCUGGGGUGCAGGUUCCAACCAAACAGCCAGCUUCAGGCACAUGGAGCACAUGAACUGGAAGAUCUUGACUUGGAGGGAGUUUCGCAAGGAGCAUGAGGACAGGAGAGCUGUGAAUUAUUACGGUUCCAUCCCACGGGACAAGCACAUAUCAGACAGUAAUUCCACAAUGCAGUAGUCUUCAUCUGCCUGUCCAGUGCCUUCUCCUCUCUGAAGGACCAACUUACCAACAGCAUCACUUAAGAGUAGAAACAAUACAAGAAGCAGCUUUUCUACUCCCUUGGAACUUGGCAGGAGCAUAAAUACACAGUAAGAGAAGAGGGGAAUCAAAAACUUAACAGCAGGAAAGGGAGAUAAAAUGGCACAAGUGUGGCCUCCACCUCUCACAUUUUAAUUUCCACCAGUGUCCUUAAUAGAGCUAGGCACAGCAAACGGCCUUGAGAUUUACAUGCAAAGCCUGUGAGCUCCUGGCAAUAGCUGUAUCACAGCACACACCUCGGUGCUCUACACCUCACAUACAGAUCAUCUCGUAGUAUUCACAUUCAAAUCGCCUGUCCUUCAUUGCUAAUAAAAAUGGAAUGUAUUAGGGGAAGCUUGAAUCCAGUGGCUUGACAGAGCCUGUCAUGUCUCACUCAUGAGAAAGCGCAGGAUCAAAAGUGGCUGCCCGUUUUGGUGGCAUAAGAUUUUUCAGUUUCAAGGGGCAAAACGGGUGCUUUGAGACAAAAUAAGCCUGAACCCUGCAACUCCUACGGCCCCUAAGAGCACAGUGUGAGGCCAACUCAGAAUUCCCUACUACACUGUGAAAAAAUACACAUUUCUAUGAGACUCCUA